UUUUAACAUUAACCUAAUUUCGCUCUCGAAUGCUUGCAGCAACGUAUCAAAUGGAAACGUGCUAUCAGAAGUAUCAAAUUUUGAUACCUUUGGGCUUGUGGGGUCCGAGUUAACAGACAUAAUGCUAGAUUUGUGAGAAGAUGAAGCAUGCUUUGGUGUUUUAGUCUCUAAUUUGGUCAUGAAUUCGGAGAUACCGCGAUAAUGCAUUAAAACACACCUUAAUUUUGUAAAUAAGUUCGUCAAGAACUCGGAAAUCAUAGUAUGCUCUCUAUCAGUCUCAGCGUGCAAACCUAUAUCAUAAAGUGAUUUUGAAAAGGGAUUAACGGUAGAAACGUUAUUACCGAGUGAAUAUUUGUUAACGAUUGCACGUGAAGUAGAAUCUACCGUAGUAAACAUCUCCGCAGAAGUACGAGACUUUAAAGAUGAAAUAGCAUUGGGGAGUUUUCCCAAUAAAUUCAAUGACUCCAAAACAAUACGUAUAUCACGUAAACUGUCUCUACCAUAAUCCAUUUUUAAGCAAUCCGACAACUUUAAAGAAAGCGCUUCUUCUAGGUAACGCAAUUGCUCACUUUGGCCCAGAGUUGAUGUAUUUGCAUUGUUUUUUAAAAAAUCUCUCAAAAAAUAUGGGUUGGAAGUUUCCCUCAGCGGAUUUGGAGAGCAGUACGAUACUAUGGGAUAAGCGACAGCAUCUUUAAGGAAAGUAAUUGAAACCAACUCUUCAGAUAGAAUGUCCUCUAAAUGUGACAAGAGUCCUGUCAUCCGACUUUUAAACUGCUCCACUACUAAUAUUCCGUCAAAAUCAGAACGACUUAAUUCAUCCCAUACACGACGUAUUAAAUCGCUGGCAUGAUAAUAUUGCUUGCUAUCAACAAGCGUAUGAAAGUUGUCAAACAGCUGGUUGGCUUCAUUAAGUUCCUUGAGCACACUUAUGACUUUUUUGUAUUGAGAACUACGAGCCAAUGUUUGUUGAAGCUCUUUGCUAUUAGUAUUACCAAUGCAUUCUUGCGAAGCCUCAAGGGAUUGCUUUAAUGCUAUGAUUCUCGAAUUGCACUUCUGAAUUCCCUCCAUUAUUUCUCCAUAAGCCGAUAUACCUCGAGUAAAGUCAUCUUUAUGAGUAUGGGCAAUCGUUUGUAAUGCAGCACUAAUUCGAUCGUAAACGUUCAGAAAAGACUUAUAAUCUCUUCCAAAGCUACUGUCAUCUAAUAGUUCCAACGCUGUAGAUAUCGGUUGAUACUUAACCAUUCGUUAGUAAAUUCAAACAUCCUCCAAUCUUCACUUAUUCACGCAACAUACGUCUUCUCUUCCCAGGUCUUUCCAUUCAUCCUCAAUUUCAUUUACUAAAUCUAGCAUAAAGGUUAAAUCAAAACUCCCUGCUGCUUCACCUUACUUUCUAAAUCGCCUAUGUGCAUUCCACGCGAUGCAUACUCUGAACUCAAUUCAUUGUCCAUGCUAGUUCCAUAAUUUGAGUAGCCGUUAGGAGAUUCCAAGCUUUUCUUUCCCACUGGAUACCUUCCUUUUUUCGUUUCCGAAUAGCCUCUGGUAUCCAUGGAAGUCAAAUAGUCAGUAGUUUUAGCUUGAUAUGUCUAUUGACUGUAUUAUCUUUGAAAGGAGAGCUAAGAAAUCACUAUAUGAAUUACGUGGACCAACGCACUGCUAUUUAUUACAGCGCACCUUGAUUUAAUACUUUAUACUGACAAGGAGCAUGCAAAAGAACUCUGUAUGUGUUUCAGAGUUAAUGGGGGUGAUGGACUAUUGUAUAAGAAAAGAAUGAUAAGGGUGUAACUAAGCUACUACUACCACGAAAUAAUACUAAUAUAAACAGAAAAAUCAAGCAUCCAAGAAAAGGCAAAUUAAGAUACUUCGCAGAAAAGUACUUUGAUAAAUAACUAUGCCAUAAUAAAAAAAUAAGGUAUGAUGAGAUGAUUAAGAGAAUAAUAAUAUGAGCAAUGCCAAAGACCAAAAUAAAAGUCAGAAUAAAGGGGUGCAGAUGUAACAAAAAAACUAAAAAAGAAAGAACGGUUAAAAAUGCGCAAUCUCAAUAUGCAUUUUCUCCAUUACAAAAAUCAACACAUGACAAUCUUAAAAGAUAAGAAAGUAAAAGAGAGAUUAAGGGCAUUAGAAGGAUACAAGUAUUAAAACCAGUAAUCCUUGUAACACAAACAACACAACAAAUGGGGGCGGAAAAAAAAUUUAUAAUCCAAGAAGAUUCCAACUGUCAUAGCUUCGUUACAAUCACUGAAUUAAGAAAUUUAACGAAACAGAAAGAUGAAAGACUAACGACUUCUUUAUAUAACGGAUUGCCAAUUUGAAGUAAUAUAAAUAAAUAGCGGGUCUCAAGCUUCCGAGCUCAAUGAACAACUCAGUGCGCAAACUAUCGAUAAACACUUUUGCCAAGAAAUAUUCAACAAAGCGAUGAAUGUAAGUUCUAGAGUGCUUUGAAACUAAAUGCAUCAAGCAACAUUUUAAAGCUACCAUUUGAAUUAUUAGGUAGACGUCUCUCCGCAAGAGUCAUCAUCAUUUGAAUAACUCAUCAAUCCCCCAAGUUCAUCGUAAGCAUUAGAGAGACUGUCUUCAUAGCCCCGUUCCGCAAUUUGCAUUCCCUUAGCUUCCUUCCAUAUUUUUAGAAAGUAUAGCCUCAAAGUCCGUAAACCUCGUACGUAUCCUCGAUCAUACGUGUCUUUGUGUUGAGGAGGACAUGUAGCUUUUGCUAAAAGCUCUUUAUCCUCAGCAAAAACACAAUUGGCAAAAUCAACAAUCCGAAUGUCAAUUUCACGAGGCUUGACUUUUUCUUUGCUGGAUUUGUCGCUUGGCGGCGGCUCCCCAUCAUAUAAAAAUAGUAAUGAACUAGCAUACAAGCGGGAUCCUUUAAGAAACCUAACAAUUUGCUCUAACUGCUCUAGCUUUCUAAUUAUCGUGGGAAUAUGAUGCACCAAGAGAUGGCUAUUGUCUUCAUCGUCAUCCGUUUUCCCUAAGUAACGCAUCAAUGCGUGUUGAAAUUCCUCUCCUGCUUUAAUAUCACGACCUACAUACUUAUCUUCAAAUGUAUAUGAUUGAAGCCAAGGAUGCCAAACUUGCAUUCCACAUAUUCGGACACCAAGAACUCGAGAUGUAGUCAUCGCACACUUUUUAGUUUGUGAGGCUUUCUUUUUCUCCGUAGCCAUUAUUCCGUAUUGUCUAGUACCCAUCUUGACAUCCAACACACAAGGUCUUUUCAUUCCACUCGUUAAGUCUUCAAUCACAAUAUAUCUCUCAAUCUGGGUAGAAUGUUGAGAUUCCGAAUUUUCCGCGAGGGCAUUAGCAUCAUUAUUAUUAUUGUUUUGAUUAUCGCUUGCUGGAAUCCGGUGAUCUUCAUCGGCGGAUGCCAUGUGUGGAAGAGAGAGUACUCGCCUAGGAUCAUUUACGCUCCUGAAUGGAUCUCCAAUUUCUGCUGGUUCUAGAGGUGGAGGUAACUCGCUGUUUUCUUCAUUGUCCAUAGCAAAAAUAGAGUCAUCGGGUACAGUUCCAUGCGAGUUCGGUGUACUUCGUAGUUCCUUUAUUGUAUGUCCUGUUGACUCCCUUGAAUCAUAAUCCUCCAUUGUACCAGAAACCCGAGGAAACUCGUUAGAUUCUGGUUCUUCCCAAACAGCAUCUGAUGAAAAGCGUCUAUAUGACUUACCUUGAUUAUUGGACGGUACGUUGAGGAGUUCCUCGUCGACUUCUUCAUUUUCUUCGGCAACGGCGGAAUGCAAGUCGUAAUGUUUAUCUUCAACGCUACAGGAUAAGCUUUUGUUAGGAUCUGCAUCCUUAUCACGAGCUCGGCUAGAUGUGUUUCCAUUAUCCAAUUGUCCAAAAGCAACCGAAUUAUCACGAAAAACAGAAGGUCGAUGGGAACUCCUUGAAUGGAAACGAGUUCCAAGUCGACGUCUUGCAUGCUUGGGAGCAAAAACUUCUCGUAGAACUUCCUCUCGCAGUUUUCUGUUAAUUAAUGUGGUUCCCCAUGGAGUUUUGGGCGGUAUAUCAGCCACGAAAGUAGGAGAUACUGGCCGUUCUCCGGCUGAAGAUGAUUUAUGGUGUAAAGAUUUGGGGCUUCCAUAAGAAUGAGAUCUUUUGUCGGGAAGCAUCCAUUCAGGAAAAAUAUGACGGUUUUGCUCAACACUAACCUCUGGAAUGUAUCCAUAGUCUUUUUUCUGAUAACAGCUGUUAAAUGUGUGUUUAUGGGGGGCAGGUGUUUUAGA
rnacentral:lncRNA from 1 species